UCUCUCUCUCUCUCCGAAAAUUUUGGAGAGAAUAUUUCUCCUUUUCACUAUAUAUUCAUUCCACCCCGUCUUCAUGAUUGAAACAGAAGUUCUCUCUCUCAGGAUUGUGCAUCACAAAAACCCAUGGUAGAACUUGUUCCUAUCCAGUUCUAUGGCAAGAUUUUUGGAACUAGAAACAGGUGUUUGCCCACGAGAGUCGGAACAUCUCAAGGAGCUAAGGAAUGCCAUGGAAAUAAUCCCGCAAUGGCAUGUUUUUUCUUCAAAUUCAGCUUUGAUGAGGAAUACAACCGUGGGGGAAGCUUUUUGUUAUUGCUGCCGUGUUUUCCUUAGUCGAAAAGCGCAUGGAAAAGGUUUCUAGUUUUCGAAGUAGUUCCUUGAUCAUCUCGCAUGUAUACACCAGCUCACCAAGAAUCUGAAGAGUAUGCUGGAGAGAUGGAAGUAUUUGGUGCUACAGAACUGCUUAAUUAGGUCUUUGUUUGCUGUUGAGGUUGAAGGCUUCAUCUUGUU